rnacentral:snRNA from 1 species
AAAGAUUUUAAAUAGGGGAAGUACCAUGUCAUAAAAGUGGUUUUCCCAGGGGAGGAUCAUCCAUUGGACUUUGGGUGUGCUGCUGAUCCCUGUGAUUUCCCCAAAUGUGGGGAACUCAUCUGCAUAAUUUAUGUUAAUGGGGGGAUUGCAUUUAUGAUUUCCCUGU